AUUGAACGCUGGCGGCAUGCUUUACACAUGCAAGUCGAACGGCAGCGCGGGCUUCGGCCUGGCGGCGAGUGGCGAACGGGUGAGUAAUACAUCUGAACGUGCCCAGUAGUGGGGGAUAGCUCGGCGAAAGCCGGAUUAAUACCGCAUACGACCUGAGGGUGAAAGCGGGGGAUCUUCGGACCUCGAGGUUUUUGAGCGGCCGAUGGCGGAUUAGCUAGUUGGUGGGGUAAAGGCCUACCAAGGCGACGAUCUGUAGCUGGUCUGAGAGGACGACCAGCCACACUGGGACUGAGACACGGCCCAGGCUCCUACGGGAGGCAGCAGUGGGGAAUUUUGGACAAUGGGCGAAAGCCUGAUCCAGCAAUGCCGCGUGUGUGAUGAAGGCCUUCGGGUUGUAAAGCCCUUUUGUUGGGAAAGAAAAGGAGUGUACGAAUACGACGGUUUGGUGACGGUACCUGAAGAAUAAGCACCGGCUAACUACGUG
rnacentral:rRNA from 1 species